UAGGGAAUCUUCCACAAUGGACGCAAGUCUGAUGGAGCAACGCCGCGUGAGUGAAGAAGGCUUUCGGGUCGUAAAACUCUGUUAUUGAAGAAGAACGUGUGUGACAGUAACUGGUCAUGCAGUGACGGUAUUCAAUCAGAAAGUCACGGCUAACUACGUGCCAGCAGCCGCGGUAAUACGUAGGUGGCAAGCGUUGUCCGGAUUUAUUGGGCGUAAAGCGAGUGCAGGCGGUCUUUUAAGUCUGAUGUGAAAGCCUUCGGCUUAACCGAAGAAGGGCAUCGGAAACUGGGAGACUUGAGUGCAGAAGAGGAGAGUGGAACUCCAUGUGUAGCGGUGAAAUGCGUAGAUAUAUGGAAGAACACCAGUGGCGAAGG
rnacentral:rRNA from 1 species